AACUGUUAAUCUAGAAUGUGGGAGAGGUAGAUGGAAUUUCUGGUGUAGGGGUAAAAUCCGUAGAGAUCAGAAGGAACACCGAUUGCGAAGGCGAUCUACUGGAACAUUAUUGACGCUGAGAUGCGAAAGCGUGGGGAGCAAACAGGAUUAGAUACCCUGGUAGUCCACGCCCUAAACGAUGUACACUAGUUGUUGUGAGACUAGAUCUCGCAGUAAUGCAGUUAACACAUUAAGUGUACCGCCUGGGGAGUACGGUCGCAAGAUUAAAACUCAAAGGAAUAGACGGGGACCCGCACAAGCGGUGGAGCAUGUGGUUUAAUUCGACGAUACACGAAGAACCUUACCUGGACUUGACAUAGUAAGAAUGAUUUAGAGAUAGAUUAGUGUCUGCUUGCAGAAACUUGCAUACAGGUGCUGCACGGCUGUCGUCAGCUCGUGUCGUGAGAUGUUGGGUUAAGUCCCGCAACGAGCGCAACCCUCGUCGUUAGUUGCUAACAGUUCGGCUGAGAACUCUAACGAGACUGCCUACGCAAGUAGGAGGAAGGUGAGGAUGACGUCAAGUCAUCAUGGCCCUUACGUCCAGGGCUACACACGUGCUACAAUGGGAUAUACAAAGAGCCGCAAUACAGUGAUGUGGAGCAAAUCUUAUAAAAUAUCUCCCAGUUCGGAUUGUAGUCUGCAACUCGACUACAUGAAGUUGGAAUCGCUAGUAAUCGUAGAUCAGCUAUGCUACGGUGAAUACGUUCCCGGGUCUUGUACUCACCGCCCGUCACACCAUGGGAGUUGAACUCAUUCGAAGCGGGGAUGCUAAAGUAGCUACCUUCCACAGUGGAUUCAGCGACUGGGGUGAAGUCGUAACAAGGUAACCGUAGGAGAACCUGCGGCUGAUCACCUCCUAA
rnacentral:rRNA from 1 species